rnacentral:rRNA from 1 species
CGAACGGGUGAGUAACACGUGAGCAACCUACCUUACACAGGGGGAUAGCCGUUGGAAACGACGAUUAAUACCGCAUGAGACCACAGAAUCGCAUGAUAUAGGGGUCAAAGAUUUAUCGGUGUAAGAAGGGCUCGCGUCUGAUUAGCUAGUUGGAAGGGUAAGGGCCUACCAAGGCGACGAUCAGUAGCCGGUCUGAGAGGAUGAACGGCCACAUUGGAACUGAGACACGGUCCAA